GUGAUAACAGGAAGCACAUAUGCUAAAAGUGGAAUGAUACAGAGAAGAAUUAACAUGGCCUCUGCGCAAGGAUGACACGCAAAUUCGUGAAGUGUUCCAUAUUUUU